CGGAGCUGGGGACCGAACCUAGGGCCUUGCGCUUGCUAGGCAAGCGCUCUACCACUGAGCUAAAUCCCCAACCCCAAAAUAUAAAAAUCUUAAGAACUAGGUUGUGACAAGCUGACCCGGGAUCUGCAGGCCUAACUACACACCAACAUACUUACUGAACCAACGGACUCAGGAAAGGUGUCAAUUGAGCUUCUUGAGAGCAAACCCAGGGUCUCACACAUGCUAGGCCUCAUUCUACUACUGAGUUACACCCCAGGCAUCCCCAGUAAGGGACAACAUCAUCCCUUCAUAUCAGGAUCGAAGCUCUACAAGGUGCUGAGAGUCAUUCAAGAACAAGGAGUUUCAAAGAGCCUGCCACAAUGGCUGCACAGAUGGUACCACAGGCUGCAGGCAUUCUUCUGGAAAGAGGACAAGAGAUCACAGAAGAAAUGGGCCUGACAGUCCCCCAUCAAACAGGUUGUUUUGGGACAGAAGACCUUGAUAUCAAACACCCUUUGAGGGAUACAAACAAU
rnacentral:lncRNA from 1 species